CCCUUAGAUGUCCGGGGCCGCACGCGCGUUACACUGAUGCAUUCAACGAGCUUAUAACCUUGGCCGAGAGGCCUGGGCAAUCUUGUUAACGUGCAUCGUGAUAGGGAUAGAUUAUUGAAAUUAUUAAUCUUGAACGAGGAAUUCCUAGUAAACGCAGAUCAUCAAUCUGCAUUGAUUACGUCCCUGCCCUUUGUACACACCGCCCGUCGCACCUACCGAUUGGAUGGUCCGGUGAAGCCUCGGGAUUGUGGUUCUUGCCGCUUUAUUGUGGCGUGACCGCGAGAACUUGUCUAAACCUUAUCAUCUAGAGGUAGGUGAAGUCGUAACA
rnacentral:rRNA from 1 species